CCAGUGCUGCAUUGCUUUCAAAUGAAGAAUAAACAGGAUGAGGAACAUUACAAUUCACUCAUUCCAGGAACUGAGUUAAUGGUCCAGUUGUUAGAUACGGUCCUAAUAAUGCAUUGCACUGUAACAACCAAAAUCAGAUUUCCUCCAAGUUUGAACAUCAGGAUGUCAUAGAAAGCCAACUUUGUCUCUACUACAGACAUGUGCUCACAGAAAUGAGGAAGAUCUUUGACCACUCUGUCCACAGUAAAGAUACUGCUAAGCGUCUACUCACUCUCCCUCUGGGCUCACGCAGUUUUGCUGAAUAUUCUGUGGAGUUCCGGAUGUUAGCAGCCGAUUCGGGGUGGAAGGAUGAGGUACUCCAAAGGCUAUUUCAGAAUGGACUCAGUGACCUGGUGAAGGACGAGUUGGCGGCAAGAGAUGACACCGACAGCCUGGAUUCCUUCAUCUCCCUAGCCACCAGGUUGGACAAUCAUCGCCAUAGGGAAAGAACUGGACAUCCACCGCCUUUGUCCACUCAAUGGCACUCAUUACCAUCUCCCACCAGCAUAAGACCCCCCAACUCCUGCUCCUAGAGUAGAUCCCAGCCCGACCAUUUCCACCACCCUGGGAGAGGAACCCAUGCAGCUGGGACAGAACCUCCUUUUCCCCACAGAACGACUACAGAGAUUGAGAGCGGGUGUGUGUCUAUAUUGAAACCAGUCCAGCCACUUCCUUGUCCCCUUCAGCCAAAGGGGGGGACCCUGGUGUGGUGAACUACAUAUACCUGUCUGGACAUGCCCCCUGCUGACUGCUCCUGUGGCUCCUCCCACAGACCCCGGUAUAAAGGCAAUUGAGGCCUGAGCCCAGCCUCUCAGUCUCCAGGAUGUAGUAUGGUGG